GGACCCGCACAAGUAGUGGAGCAUGUGGUUUAAUUCGAUGCAACGCGAAGAACCUUACCAGGGUUUGACAUCCUGCGAAUUUCUGGGAAACCGGAAAGUGCCUUCGGGAGCGCAGUGACAGGUGGUGCAUGGCUGUCGUCAGCUCGUGUCGUGAGAUGUUGGUUAAGUCCCGCAACGAGCGCAACCCACGUCUUUAGUUGCCAGCAUUUAGUUGGGCACUCUAGAGAGACCGCCGGUGAUAAACCGGAGGAAGGUGUGGAUGACGUCAAGUCAUCAUGCCCCUUACAUCCUGGGCUACACACGUGCUACAAUGGCCGGUACAGAGAGCAGCCACUACGCGAGUAGGAG
rnacentral:rRNA from 1 species